rnacentral:rRNA from 1 species
UACAGAGGUCUCGAGCGUUAGGCGGAAUCACUGGGCUUAAAGCGUGUGUAGGCGGAUCGGUAAGUACCUUGUGAAAUCCCACAGCUUAACUGUGGAACUGCUUGGUAUACUGCCAGUCUUGAGCCACUUAGGGGCUACCGGAACAAAUGGUGGAGCGGUGAAAUGCGUAGAUAUGUGGAGGAACACCGAUGGCGAAGGCGGCAUCCUGGACCGACAUUGACGCUGAACGGCGAAAGCUAGGGGAGCAAACGGG